rnacentral:lncRNA from 1 species
CCCCUUUGUGCUCCAUCCGAAUAAAUUUACAUGUGCAGAAAAAUCAUUGAUAGUUCAAAUAACAGCGGCCCUUAAUUUGAAUAUCUGACCAUUGCAAGUAUCAAAUGCAUCGAUACCCUCCCAUAGUUGUUUCAAUUUCUCUAUUCAAGAUUGCAAAAAGAUAUUAAUAUCAUUGUCUGGAUCCUUAUCAUCUGCAAUAACUAUUGACAAGAUAAGUGAAGAUUAUUUCAUACACAUCCAUGGUGGC